rnacentral:lncRNA from 1 species
UGUACGUCUGCAUGUGGGUUUGAGCAUAUGAGAGCAGAGGUACCAGAUCAUUGGAGCUGGAGUUACAGGCAGUUGGGAACUAGAUGAUGUGGACUCCAGUCAUCUCUGCUAGAUAUUGUGAGCACCUAGUUUGAUCAUUUUUGCUACCUGGCUCCAGCUUCUUCCAACAAGUCAUUAUUAUCUACCUUUGCUUGCUAUAUACUUAAACUCAACCUUUCAAAACAAAAAUCACACGUAUUCCAGAUCAUUCUCCAGACUAUACAAGAUGCAUCCUUAUGUAAUUGUGGGUGUGCCUUCAAUCAGGAUUAUGAGACUAUGCUUUCCUCCUCUUCUGGUAUUUUCCCUGCUUUCUGGUUCAUGAUCCAAGCACCUUGUUUGGCUUCUACUAGUGUGGACCAAAUACAUGAAGAUGCCUAGAGUUGGACUGGACCCUCCAGAAUCAUGAGCCAAAAUAAAAUCUUUCUCGGUAAAUUAAUUGCCUCAGGUAUUUCACUGUAGUAACACGAACAGGUUGACUAAUAUAUUAGGGUGGGGGUUUUGCGAUAUUCACAUCAGAUCAAAGUGAAGAUACUACCAAAGUCAACUCAGUGAAUCAAUGAGUUAUAUUGUGGUUAUUUCCAGGAGAAUGGGUGAGGGGUUAUUUCCAGGAGGAGAAGUGACUCAAAGAUGUCAUCAGAAGCUUACCUCAACAUGGGUAAUGGCUCAUAAGAGCUAAUCGUGGAACUCAAUGCACAUAUCAACAAGUUGGAGAGAAUCUCUUCCAGAAAGUUCAGCCUGUCUCUGCCUUUUUCAGGCGGCCCAGCUUUUCCGAUAGUGUUUAUCAGCUGUCUUUCUGGCUUAUAUACUCCUGG